CCCUUAGAUGUUCUGGGCUGCACGCGUGCUACACUAAUAUUGCCAAUAUGUCAUUCUUAUCCGAAAUGGAUUGGGUAAUCAAGUAAUGAAAUUUCAUGCUUGGAAUCGGUAAUUGCAAUUUUAUCGUGAACGAGGAAUUCCUAGUAAGCACUAGUCAUCAGCUAAUGUUGAUUAUGUCCCUGCCCUUUGUACACACCGCCCGUCGCUACUACUGAUUGGGUGUUCAAGUGAGAUGCUUAGACCCUUGUUGCAUGGUUCAUUAUUGUGCUCCGAAAGGAAAAAGUUUCAAGCUUGAGUGUCUAGAGGAAGUAAAAGUCGUAACA
rnacentral:rRNA from 1 species